ensembl:snoRNA
UGCGCGUGAUGUUUUUCUCACGAUGGUCUUCCAAGUUAAACUCUGACGACAUCGCCUUACGGCAUUGCUGAUGCAGCCUU